rnacentral:rRNA from 1 species
UACGGAGGAUUCAAGCGUUAUCCGGAUUUAUUGGGUUUAAAGGGUGCGUAGGCUGUCGGAUAAGUUAGAGGUCAAAUGUCGGGGCUCAACCCCGGCCUGCCGUUGAAACUGGCGGCCUCGAGUGGGCGAGAAGUAUGCGGAAUGCGUGGUGUAGCGGUGAAAUGCAUAGAUAUCACGCAGAACUCCGAUUGCGAAGGCAGCAUACCGGCGCCCAACUGACGCUGAGGCACGAAAGCGUGGGUAUCGAACAGG